rnacentral:pre_miRNA from 1 species
UUUUAAGUAUAAGUAUGUUCCAAACAAUAUUUAGGACAUACUUUAUACUAAAA